rnacentral:rRNA from 1 species
UACGAGGGGGGCGAGCGUUGUUCGGAAUUAUUGGGCGUAAAGGGUGCGUAGGCGGCUUGGUAAGUCUGAUGUGAAAUCUAUGGGCUCAACUCAUAGUCUGCAUCGGAAACUGCCGGGCUUGAGUAUGGGAGAGGUGAGUGGAAUUCCUGGUGUAGCGGUGAAAUGCGUAGAUAUCAGGAGGAACACCGGUGGCGAAGGCGGGUCUCUGGGCAGUAACUGACGCUGAGGAGCGAAAGCGUGGGGAGCGAACAGG